rnacentral:tmRNA from 1 species
GGGGGCGAUUGGUCUCGACGGGGAUGCAAAAGCUCCGGCUGCAUGCCGAGGUUCCGGUGGCUCGUUAAACAAUCGGGAAAACACAACUGCCAAUAACGAACUGGCACUGGCUGCUUAAAUAAGCAACCCGUCCUCUCUUCCCUGCCUGUGGGGGGGAGACCGGGCGUCAGAAUCACAGGAUAGCCUGAAGGAUGUUUCUCCUAUCCCGACGGCGAAACUCUCAAGGAGAUAGCGACGAGGUCAAGCCCGCCUUCGGGCAUGCCUCCGGGCGAAUCCUUAAUCGAAGGCUAAGCAUGUAGAUGUCGUUGCGGACCAUUUUCGGACCCGGGUUCGAUUCCCGGCGCCUCCACCA